UGGGGAAUUUUGGACAAUGGGGGCAACCCUGAUCCAGCAAUGCCGCGUGUGUGAAGAAGGCCUUCGGGUUGUAAAGCACUUUUGUCCGGGAAGAAAUCGCACCUGAUAAUACCGGGUGUGGAUGACGGUACCGGAAGAAUAAGGACCGGCUAACUACGUGCCAGCAGCCGCGGUAAUACGUAGGGUCCAAGCGUUAAUCGGAAUUACUGGGCGUAAAGCGUGCGCAGGCGGUUGUGCAAGACCGAUGUGAAAUCCCCGGGCUUAACCUGGGAAUUGCAUUGGUGGCUGCACGGCUAGAGUGUGUCAGAGGGGGGUAGAAUGCCGCGUGUAGCAGUGAAAUGCGUAGAGAUGUGGAGGAAUACCGAUGGCGAAGGCAGCCACCUGGGAUAACACUGACGCUCAUGAACGAAAGCGUGGGGAGCAAACAGG
rnacentral:rRNA from 1 species